UUCAAUUAUAACAGGUUAUGGGCCUUAGUCACGUUUGAAAAAAAUAUUCGGCAAAACAAAAUAGAUACAUUUUUUAAUAUUGAAAACUAGUGACGUUUGUGAAAAAAAAUUAAAAUGGCUGGUAAUAACAUAGCUUUUCCGCUAGAAAGAUUGCGUGGACGCGAAAACUUUGAUGUUUGGAAGAGGCAAGCGCAAUCAUAUCUGGUCAUUAAAGGGUGCUGGAAGGCAUGUGUUGAUAAUACCGCUGAUGCUGAAUUGAAUGCGAGAGCUUUAGCCGAGAUAACAUUGAUGAUUGAACCAGACAAUUACGGCCACAUUGCAACUUCAACUACCGCGAAAAAUGCCUGGAGUGCAUUGAUGAAUGCGUACGAAGAUACGGGCCUUACCAGAAAAGUUGAAUUGCUGAAGCAAUUUGUGAACAUCAAGCUACAGAACUAUGGAUCCAUUCAGGAAUACGUCAAUGACAUCGUUAUAGUGGCUAUUAAAGUGAAAAAUGCUGGCUUAAACAUUGACGAUGAGUUGACUGCAUCUCUAAUGUUAGCUGGAUUAACGGAUGACUUUAAACCGCUUGUGAUGGCCGUGGAAAAUACCAAGGAGAAAUUGACGGUGGAUAAGGUGAAGAAUGUUCUACUUCAAGAUGCGAAAUUCGAUCGAGCUCCAGAAAAAGAAUCGGCGUUACAAUCUAAAGGUAUCAAGAAAGGUAAGAAGCAAAUCAAAUGCUACAAUUGCAGUGGACUUGGACACAUCUCAAGAAAUUGUCCCAGCAAAUUGAAGCCAAAUGACAAUGGAGCUACAAGGAAGCAUGAAAAGAAGUCGGAUGUUUUAUUUGCUACAACUACCGAUGUGAGCGCGUGUGCAAAAGCUACGGAAUCCACUUCAAGUUCAGAUUGUUUAAAUGCCUGGUACGUUGAUAGUGGAGCAAGCAACCACAUGACGAAUGAGAAGAACCACAUGUACAACAUCCGUGAUGUUUUUAAUAAAAAGGUGAUUAUUGCGAAUAAGCAUGAACUCGUAGUGGACUCCAUUGGAUAUGUUGAUAUUGAAGUUGGCUCUGGAAAAAAUAAGAGAUGUGUUACAAUCAAAGACGUGGAGUAUGUUCCAGAUUUGUGUACCAACUUACUCUCCGUUCGACAAAUGGCUAAGAAUGGAAAAAGGGUGACUUUUGAAGGUGAAAAAUGCCGCAUUUCUGAUAAAAAUGGACGUGUUAUAGCAACGGCAACUGCGCAGAAUCAAUUGUACCGGUUAGAAUGCAAUUCGAAAGAGGAAAAGGGUAAAGCUUUUACCAUGGCCAAUGAUUUCAAUUUGUGGCACCGAAGGAUGGGGCAUAUCUGUAAUGCGAAACUGGGUGAUGUCAAGAGCGCAAAUGUUGGCAUAAAUUUUGGCAAAGAAUGUUCUGAACCAUGUGUUGUCUGCGUGAAGGGAAAGCAAACCCGAAAAGUGAGUAGAGAAGUCGGUACUCAAGCCAAAGAGCUAUUGGAAAUUAUUCAUUCGGAUGUUGUUGGUCCACUAAAAGAAAGUUCGUUCUCGGGAGCUCGUUUUUUGUUGACAUUUGUGGAUGACUACUCAAGAAAACUGUUUGUCUAUCCAAUCAAGAAAAAGUCUGAGGUAUUUCCGAAAUUUUUAGAAUUCAAGGCUUUAGUGGAAAACCAGUGUUCUAAAAAAAUCAAGAUUCUACGAUCGGAUAAUGGGGGUGAGUACACCGGCAAACAUUUUUCUGAAUUCUUGGAAAAAAGUGGAAUAAUACAUCAAAAAACAUGUCCAUAUACACCCGAGCAAAAUGGUGUAGCCGAGCGAAUAAAUAGGACGAUUAUAGAAAGGGUAAGAUGUAUGCUUAUCGACAGUGGAUUAGAUCAACGUUUUUGGGCAGAAGCUGCUUCUACCGCAUCGUACUUGAUAAAUAGAGUGCCAUGCCGAGGAAAUGAAGGAUGUCCCGAAGAACUAUGGUCGGGUCGAAAACCAAAUUUGAAGCAUCUUAGAGUCUUCGGAUGUCCAGCUUUGGUCCAUGUACCAAAACAACGAAGAUCUAAAAUUGAUCCAAAGUCAUUAGAAUGUAUCAUGGUUGGAUACAGCACGGAAAGUAAAGCGUAUCGAUUAUUUGAUCCAAGUGAUCAAAAAAUAAUUGUUAGCCGUGACGUGGUAUUUCUUGAAAAUGUUCACUCAAACAUUGAAACGCCAUCUUCUAAUCUGUACAAUCCUUUGCUAAUUCAAUCUCCAGAUGAAGAAAUGGAUAAUGUUUUGAACCAAACAGUGAAUAAUGUAUCAACGAAUAUGGAGUCAACCGAAUUGGAUGGCAAUAAUGUAAUUCAAAAUGAGCCUCGUAGUGAUUCUGAAACUGAUAGUGAGUUUUUGGAUCCAGAAUGUUUUGAUAACAAUGGCUAUGUGGACCCAAAUGAUGAAGAAUGGGAACCAAAUCAAUGUAAUUCACGACCAAUACCAACGUCUGAAAAUAUUAGAAGAUCAGAAAGGAUAGCAAACCGUAAUCAACGAUCAACGGCAUUUUCUGCAAUAGAAUAUGUUUCUUCAGACCCCCAGACUAUAAAACAGGCAAUGUCGUCUGAAGAUUCUGAACAUUGGAAAAAAGCCAUGCAAGAUGAAAUGAAUUCUUUGAAAGUCAAUAAUACUUGGACUUUGGUUCAACUUCCUGAAGGAUGCAAAGCUCUGAAGUCAAAAUGGGUGUUCAAGACCAAGCAAGAUUCCAAUGGAAACACGUUGCGAUGGAAAGCAAGACUAGUCGCAAAGGGAUUUACACAGACUGAAGGUAUCGAUUAUAUGGAAACAUUCUCUCCAGUUGUUCGGUAUGAAUCAAUAAGGUAUUUAGCAGCAUUGGCAGCAAAAUAUGACAUGAAGAUUCAUCAGAUGGAUGCCGUUAGCGCUUAUUUAAACGGGAUUUUAAAAGAAACCAUAUAUAUGGAACAACCCGAAGGUUUCCGUGAUGCUUCUAAUAAAGUCUGUAAGCUUAACAGAUCCAUAUACGGCUUGAAACAAUCUGGGAGAGUAUGGAAUGAAACCAUAAACAAGGAACUUAUCGAUAUGGGUUUUGUACAAGGAGAAGUGGAUCAAUGCGUAUAUUCAAAGGUGACAGAUGAAAAGAAGAUUUAUAUUGCAAUAUACGUAGAUGAUGUAAUUAUAUUCUCCAAUGACGAAAACGAAAUAAAUUCUGUCAAGAAUACACUUUCAAGAACAUUUAAAAUGAAAGACAUGGGGGAAGUGUCUAAUGUUCUUGGUAUGACAAUAUCCCGAACUGAAGAUGGAAUCAAAAUUGAUCAGUCUAAGUACAUAUCAGAUGUAUUGACACGUUUCGGAAUGAAUGACUGUAACCCUUCCUCAACUCCAAUGGACUAUAAUAAGAAGUUAUACGAAAGUAUGUCCCCUAAAACCGAAGUUGAAAAGGAAAAAAUGUCGAAAACACCGUAUAUGGAAGCUAUUGGGUGCUUGUUGUACGCUGCUCAGGUUUCGCGCCCUGAUAUAUACUAUGCUGUGAAUAUCCUGAGCCGAUUCGGAAUAAAUCCUGGUAGAGCGCAUUGGGAAGCUGUAAAAAGAAUAAUGCGUUAUCUCAAAGGAACUAUAGAACAAGGGCUCAUCUAUAAGAAAAAUUUAGAAGAAGAUAUUACCGGCUAUUGCGAUGCAGAUUGGGCUGGAAGUUUGGACGACCGCCAUUCGACAACUGGUUAUGUCUUUAUUUUUCAAUCAGCAGCAAUAUCCUGGUCCACAAAAAGACAAAAAACGGUGGCACUAUCUUCAACGGAAGCUGAGUUCAUGGCAAUAACUGCAGCUAUACAGGAGUCUGUUUGGUUGAAACGACUAGAAAAAGAACUCAAUCCCAACAACAAUGUCAACAUGGUUUUGUAUUGUGAUAACAAAGGAGCUAUACAAGUGGCUACAAAUAACAAGUAUUCGUCAAGGACAAAGCAUGUGGAUAUUAAAGCCAAAUUUAUCAAACAGAAAAUUGACAACAAUGAAAUAUCUUUGAAGUAUCUUUCAACAAAAGAAAUGGUUGCUGACGUUUUUACCAAGGCAGUAACUCCACAGAAGUUGGAAUAUUUUAAAGGAGUUUUUGGCAUUGCUUAGUUUCCAACUUGUAUUGUUUUGUAAUUAUAAUGUAAGAAAUAUUUAAUUCAGGUAGAGUGUUGAGAAUUGAAUCAAAUAUUGUACUUUAGCAUAAAACACUUUGUCCAAUAUUAUUAACAUAAUCUUAAUAGGCUUUGAUAUCAAUAUGUUUGUUGUCAAAUAUGUAUUCUCAGUUUUUUCAGUUCAAUAAACGAAUUCAAUUAUAACAGUUUUUUUCUAAUUGUUUAAUCUUUCUCUUUUUUUUUUUUUAACGGAAUAUCUAACACCAGUUUAGCGAGAGACUAUUGCUUUUUAUUCACGCAAAUUUUAUUACCAAAUGCCUACCCUAAGAGAGCUCGCUUAAGAUGGUUAUUCCUGGGCCAAAAUGAACAAUUCUAAUACCCGACCUCUCUGAAAUCGCACACAAACUUGUGAUUACUAUCCUGGCGUUAAAAAUCCUUACAGUUGAAAUCACUUAAACUCUAGGACAUACACAAAGACAACACAAUUUUAACACUAAAUACAUAUACGUUGUUUAAUGGUUAAUUAAUUAUUAAAAUUUAGGCUUGUUUGACAAUUGCAUCUUAAUUGAUGUCUUUUUUUAAAAACAUUAAAAUUUUCUUCUUUUCUUGUUUUGCAGGAAACCGCCGACGCACUCUUAGCCCCUUUGUUAUAUAUCUUAUAAAAUUCAAAUUCUAAGGGUUACCUUGCGCUCCAGCCUUGAAUGUGUGGCAAUUGGUAAUACCUUAACCCCGAUGCACACUGACUAAUCCAAACCAACGCACAGGUAUCGUAGUGACUGGCAAUUGGUGGAUAAGGCUGACACUACCGGCACUUCAAUUUUUCUAUAGAAAGGAUGAUGAUGCGGGUGAUGCUUCCUAGUAAUUUGCUGCCACAACCCCAAAAUUACGGUAGAAAUACUGGGUGAAAGACGAAUCACUGGCCCCACUUCUGGAAUACCUGAGGCCAGUAAUGUUGGUGAUUAUGUUCAGGAAAUUCUAUGGCACAACAAACUUGCGCAAUUCUUUUCCGGGUAUGUAUUUAUUCCCUUAAUAAUAAUAGUAUUUUUUCUCUUUUUUUUUGGUGCGCCGCCACUAACUUUGAACAUCGCCGCCCUCAACUGACCCGCCCACGCAACAGACUUUAGGACUGAUAUUAGCCAUUUGGUUUAUAAUUAACCCGAAAUCGGUUGAAGAUAUAUAUGGGACCUAUAUCCAAAUCUGAACCGAUCUUAAUAAAAUUUGGCAGAGAUAUUUCUGGGCUGUAUCUAGUAACUGGUACCAAAGAUCAUUGUUGUGGAAUGCAUAUUACGCUUGUGAGGGACUUUGAACUACAAAUCGAGGGACUUAAAACCCCAAAUCGGAUGAAACAUAUACAGGGUUGCCUAUAUUCGACGGACCCAUCUGGCAACGCCAUAACUUUUGACAGAGAUGUCACAUCGCGUAAUGACAUACCGCGUUUGAAGCGUCAGUCCAAGCAGGUUUUUACCAUGAGCGCUCUGAAAUAGUUGAAAUUCACAUUCAACAGAAAAAGUCAAUAGUGAAAACUCAACGUGCUUUUAAAACAUUAAAAAAUGUGAGAAGUGCGCCUUCUAAGGGACCGUAAAUAAGCAAACUUGCCGUUUUUUAUGCCACUGAAAAUCCUCAGGAUUUUCGCAUAACAAAACAUGGGUCCGUCGAAUAUGGGCAACCCUGUAUAUGGGAGCUAUAGCUAUAUCUGAACCGAUUUUCUCCAAAUUUGAUUUACUUGCUUGUGAUUGAAUUCGGUGGGAUGUACCAAAAUAGAGAAAUCGGUUGAAGGUAUGUGGGAGCUUUAUCUAAAUCUGAUCCGAUUAUUAUUUUUUACACGAACUUCUAUCUGUUUUACCCGAAGAUCUGUCUAUGGUAUACAUUUCAAACACAGACUCCAACAUAAUUGUAUUUUUUCCCAUUUUCUUCGGAAUUUAACACCUUUUUCUGGUUGCGCCUCUACUUGCACGUUUACGUUGCAUUUACGUGUACGUAAACGGUACGUACGCAUGUUACUAGUUUCACUAAUCACGAUUUGAUUUUGCAAAAACAAUUGUUGAAUUUGCAUUAGCGGCUGAUGAUGGGUGAUAGGAGAACUCGAAUUGUCAUUCAAAGAUAAAUAAACGUUGGUUGGCUGCUGAAAAGAAUACACGUAUAGCCGGGAGAGAGGCUAGUGAACCCUACAACAUACCAGACGUGCUGUUUUAAGUUUCUAUUAAAAAUUAUUUAAAAAAAGUUAGAAUCAUAAGAAAAAGACCUCCAAAUUGCAUAAUUUUGCAAUGGAGGAUCCCGAUUCUCUUCCCCCCGACAUGGAGUUUGAUGUCACGGAAGAGAUCGCAUCAACCUCCAAACAAUUGCCGGCUUUUGCAAACUCCACUAGUAUGCAAGAAAACAAGACAAAACAGAACGAACGCAAGAGACUGCGCCUAGAAAGUGCAAUAUCAUCAAUAAAUGUAUCGGAUCUGGCUGAGAAAUUAACCAACUACAACCCGCAGGACCAAAACAAAUUUGGCAUUUUGGGGGCAUUGGCAGACAUUGACAUUUCCACACCUGUCAGCAAUCCGACCACAACCAAAAUCAAUGUUCCUCCAAAACCAAAAAUCUCUUGGUGCCCACCGAUUUUUACAUACAAUGUCAACAUAAACUCUCUAGUAGAGUCAUUACGUGCCGCAUCCCCACAGUGCAAUUUUAAAAUUAAAAAUAUAAAUAAAAACAAAAGUAACUUGUACUUUGCAGAUUCUAAAGUUCAUGCCUCAAUGAUGGAUCUUUUAAAGUCAAAAAAUAUUCAGUCAUACUCUUUCACACCCAAGGAUCAAAAGCAGACAUCCCUGAUAAUCCGAAACCUCUUCUCUCUAACUGAACCAGAAGCAAUUAAAAACGAACUAGAUCAGUUAGUUCCUGAAACAGUGGCCAGUGUCUCAAAAUUUAGAACACCGACAUCAAUUAAAAACAACACUGAUACGGGUCUUUUCUUAGUUUGCUUAUUGCCAGGAAAGAAGUUUGGCGAAAUUUCACAUAUUCGCCAACUGCAAUACCAAUCCAUAAUCUGGGAGAAACCCAAAAAAAGGGAUACCUUUGUCCAAUGCCGAAGAUGUCAAGGGCACGGACAUAUAGCACGUAAUUGCAAUUGCUCUUACAGAUGCGUUAAAUGUAAAGACAAACAUCUUCCUGGAGAAUGUAAACGGUCCAAGACAGACACCUCGGAACCUUACUGUGUUAAUUGCGAAAAAACAGGUCAUCCCGCCAACUGGCGAGGAUGUCCCUCCUAUAAAAAAUAUGCCUCCGACAGGAAAAAAAAGAUGGCAGUAGCAUUAGAAAACAGAGCUCUAGCUCAAAACAAUGUAUCAAAAGCAUUAAACACAUCCAAAUAUUCACCGGAAAAAACUUUUUCAAACUUAUUUAAAAGUGUCACAUCUAUUCCCCAAGAUUCAACCAAAAAACCACAAAUAAUUCAAGACUUCCUUAAGCUAGCAAAUCUUUUUUUGGAACCUGAAGAGCUGACCUUAGAGCAAGAAAUUCAAAUAUUCCUAACAGAAUAUAAAAACUUGUCAAAAACCGAAGCAAAAAAACAAUUUUUAAUGCUUCUUAAUAAAGUUAAAUUGAAUUAUGGACCAUAGAUCACUAAAA